ACACCUCACCUCCAACUCCCAGACAGCGGACGGGAGAGAGUCAGACGGCAGGCACAGAGUCGGAAACAGGCUCCGCACGACGGGCACGGAGCCUUAUGUGGG